UACGGCAAUAUCAUAUUGAAACAACGCUUCUCGUACGAUCAGCGAAGUUAAGCAACGUCGAGCUUGGUCAGUACCUAGAUGGGUGUCCGCUUGGGAAUACCAUGCACUGUAAG